UACGUAGGGAGCAAGCGUUGUCCGGAAUCAUUGGGCGUAAAGCGCGCGUAGGUGGCUUCAUAAGUCCGUUGUGAAAGUCAAAGGCUCAACCUUUGAAAGCCGAUGGAUACUGUGGAGCUAGAGUACGGAAGAGGCGAGUGGAAUUCCUGGUGUAGCGGUGGAAUGCGCAGAUAUCAGGAGAAACACCAAUAGCGAAGGCAGCUCGCUGGGACGUUACUGACACUAAGGCGCGAAAGCGUGGGGAGCGAACAGG
rnacentral:rRNA from 1 species